UCGGGCCGUGCACGAGGCCGUGGAGCAAGUGCUUGAAACGCUUGCCCCCGUCGAGCGAGAGUUCGAUUCCCCGGGCCUGCA
rnacentral:tRNA from 1 species